ACCUGGUUGAUUCCUGCCAGUAGUCAUAUGCUUGUCUC
rnacentral:rRNA from 2 species